rnacentral:lncRNA from 1 species
UUCUUAGCUGGCUUCAUAGUACUAAAUAGCUAUUGCUUGUUAAGUGCUUUUAAUAGUUGGCCCUGCACUGAGCUCGAGUCUCACCUCAGAGUUUCACAGGGCAGCUGCAGAGGAGCCACAGUGUCAGGGAGCUCUUUCCUGGGCACCUUACCUUGUUAGUGUCCUUUAACUUUCAUGUAGUUGACAAAUGAAUAUGGGCUGCUUGCUAAGUCACAGCACCCUUGGCUAAAUUCUGGAGGUUAAACCAGGAGGAAGUUACUGCCAGGGUGAGAGGCAUACCAAGGCCACUGGUGUAGGGAAGAGGCAAGGAGGGCAUCAUCAGAAGCGGGCCUAGGGAUGCUUCAGCAAGGCAGGGUGCUGGGUUACGAGUUUGCUUGGCCUGGAUGCCUAGCUCACUUGCACUUAUUGGAAUGGGUGGCCAAAAUUCUUUCAGUGGCACAGUCACCUCAGAUUAUUCCUGUCACUUAAUCUGACAUAGUAAACUAUUCAAGGUGAGUUGGUCUUGGACCCAUCCGAGGGGGCUAUUAGGAGAGACGCCUGAGAGUCUCAGCAUCUGUUAUAACACAAUAGCCCUGUAGCUGAGUUUCUGCAUGACUAACAAGCUAGACCUGUUCCACCUAAGGAGUUUCCUAGUCUUUCAAUUUAUUUGUGGUAUCUGUUCUAGAAAUCGGUUCCCAGGGUAUUGGUCCUGUGAAUAACCUUAGAAGUUGGGAUUGGAUAGAUAUAUAAUGCACACUUUGUAGAACUUUCAAAAGAAAUAUUGAAAAUGUUAUUUUUUAAAAGGAAAGAAAUAGUUGUGUUUUCUUACAAUUUGUGUCCAUGAGAAAUUGUUCUGAUAACUUUAGAAUUCAGGUAAGAUUUAUGAGAUAUUUUGUUUGCAUGUAAAUGUUAUUAAGUAGCAUACAAGUCGCUUGUUACUGGCACUUUACACUUCUUGUAAAGCAAUUGAAAAUGCUUUACAUUUCAAAGGAUUUUUUUAAGUAUAUAUGUUGUAUGACCAAAAGGAAUUUAAUAGGUGUUUCC